GUUCGUCCGGGACCCGCCUCAAGCCUCGCAGCCUUUCACCCAGUUUCCUCCCGAUUCUUGCUGGGACAACAAAAUUGGGAAGCGGUUCUCGAAACAUACUGUCAAGGCGUAGUUGCAUUUGGUCGCCCAACUCACAUUGAAGCCUAAGACCCAGCUGAUUUCUCUUCAUUUCUGCAAAGUUACUGUACCAUGGCAGGCCAACGAACAUGUCAAAGGAGGAGCAGCAGAGCUGGCCCCAGGGUAAGGAAGCUUCCACAGCUUUAUGUUCACUUACAAAGGUUAUAUUUCUCUUGGAAUUUCAGGUAAUCAGGGCUCCCAGGUAGAGCUGGCUUUGUCACUGAAACACGAAGGGUUUGGUCUAGGUCUUAAUGCUUGCUGCACAGAUGGCCAAUCACUGAGAUGAGUAUUGCCAAGGAAGAAAGCUUUAAUAGGGUGCUGCAGCCGAGGAGAUGGGAGAUCAGUCUCAAAUCCAUCUCCCUGACUGACUAAAAUUAGGGUUUUAUAUAGCAAGGAAGAAAUGUAACCAUGUGUGGGAAAACAGAAAUUAGGGAGUGGUGGUAAGAAGGAGG
rnacentral:sRNA from 1 species